CAGAGUAGACCCUAAUGCGUAAAGUGUCCCAUGAACGGGGAGUUGUCGUGGGAACGAAAGAGGGAAACCCCUUCUGCGGUAUCAGGGUCGCAUCCCGCUGU
rnacentral:ncRNA from 1 species